rnacentral:lncRNA from 1 species
GUUCAAAGGUCUUCAUAGAGUCAAUAAAUUCUGAUUUUUUUUCAAGUUAAAAAGCAAAGGGAUUUUUAGCAAAAGCACAGCCUCCCAGAGUACAGGGAAAUGAUAUUAAGAUUACCUAAUAGUGUUAUUGAGGAAGUAUGUGUUACAGAAACAUGUACUUCUGCAAUUCUUAAGCAAGAGCUACUGAGGCCAACCAACAAGAAACUCUUGUCAGGAACCUGGCAUUAUGUGAAUUUAUCCAGUAUGCUUUCUGGAGAUCACUUGACUCUAAAUCUACAGUAAAGUCAAAGUCUAUACACCAAAGAUAGAAAAAAAUGAGAAAAAUAAGUGGAAAGAAUGAAGCAAAAUGAGAGCCAUGAAAGAUACAAAGAGGUGUAUUUAGAAAGUAGAAGGAUCAAGACAUUGUGUGCCUCAGAAGAAAAGGAAAGUAAGCAGCAGUUGACUAUAUUUUUUAAUUGAGAUUUUCUUAUCUAAUCAGGAUUAUCCAUAUAGGGAAAUGAAUCAGGAACUUGGUUGCCAGACACAGAGAAAUAGAUAAGAUUUUCCUCUAGUUAUAAGCUUGUGCUUUUGGCCUGAUUAGCAGCAGAUUGAAUGACGGCCCUCCUCAAAAGGUAUGUUCAUAUUCCAAUCCCUGAAAAAUGUAAAUGUGACCUUGUUUAGAAAAAAUGGUCUUUGCAGAUAUAAUUAAGUUAAAGAUUUUGAGACGGAGCAAUUCAGCAGAGGAGAAGAUAUGAAACAGAGGAGAAGAAUCCCAUGUGAAGAAGGGGCCAAAGAUUGGAGUUAUACAGGCACAAGUCAAAAGGCUGAAGCCAUCAGAAUCUGGAAGAGGUAAGGAAGGAUCCUACUCUAUGACCUUCAAAGGGAGGAUGACUUUGCUGACACCUUGAUUUUGGACUUCUGGCCUCGAGAACUGUAAUAUAAAAAAUUUCUGUUGUUUUAAGCUAUCAAGUUUAUUGCUAUUUGUUAAGAGAGCAGUAGGAAACUAACGAUAUAUAUAUUCCUUCGUUAGUGACAGUUACGAAGUAAGAAAACAAGAGAAUAUGAAAACUGCCAUACACUAAUGAUUUUUUUCUGCCCACAUAUCCAUCUGAAGCAGUUCCUAUUUUUGAAGGUUCCUUUCCCUAACACAUACAUACACACACACACACACACACACACACACACACUACCACCACCACCACCACACCAGAAUUAAACAAAGUACCACACAGUGAAAGAGAUUAGAGGUUGAGAGAGCUUCUGUAAUUUAAAAUGUGGACAUUGCAACAUCAUCUUUGAACUCACUUGAUACAUAGCAAUUCAAAAUGGAAAAUUGUUGAAAACACAUGGUGCUAUGUUAAACGUAAAACACCACUGAUGACUGAUGCAGGGGUUCUCAACAGUAAAGCAAGUCACUUUAUACAUUUCUUCUUGGAAAGGAAAAAUAACAUCAUUAAUGCUAUAAAAAUGAGAUGGUGAUAAAUAAUGCUUGAGAUUCUCUUUGGUCCAUCAGCUGCUUUCAAGAAAGUUGAAAUGAUUAAUGCUAAGUUUAGUAUGAGCUUGACAAAAUAUAUAUACAGAUUACAUUUUUUAAGUGAAUAAACUUGGAGUUCUUAUUUUUCUUCUAAUUCUAUGUGCAGUUUCAUCCAGAGUCAGCUUGGCUAUAGCUAGAAGCAAUUAUGAAUAUGCUCAAGGGCUGGGUGCGGUGGCUCACGCCUGUAAUCCCAGCACUUUGGAAGGCCGAGGCGGGUGGAUCACAAGGUCAGGAGUUUAAGACCAGCCUGGCCAAGAGAGUGAAACCCCAUCUCUACUACAAAUACGGUAAUUAGCCAGGCGUGGUGGCAGGUGCCUGUAAUCCCAGUUACUCGGGGGGCUGAGACAGAGAAUUUCUUGAACCUGGGAGGUGGAAGUUGCAGUGAGCCGAGAUCACGCCACUGCACUCUAGCCUCGGUGACAGAGUGAGAUUUAAAUAAAUAAAUAAUAUGCACAAAGAAUUGAAACUCUAGGAAAUUGUUUGUAUCUCUCAUAGAUUUCAGCGAAGUUAAAUUGUGCAUUGGUCACAAGAGAAAACUUGUCAUGGUGACUCAUAUAAAUUACUAAAAUUGCUUUCAUUUGGGAAAUAGGCCCAUUAGUCUUAAAUUUUACCUUAUGAUUAUGUCAAGUAGCCAAACAUCAUUGCUUAUACUAAAAUAAAGCUCUAGGUACUAUUUCUUUUAAUUAAAAAAAACCCCAGUGAUCCUAGCAUAUUACUUUAGUUAUAAUCUCAAAUCUAGUACCAUAUAUAAGGAAAGCCAAGAUAUUACUUAUACUUCCUUCUUAUGAAAUCAUCAUUAAAGGCACAUUUAUAGAUAAUGGGAACUCAGUCAAGAUGUUCAGCCUGACAGUCCACUGCUAUCUCCUGGGCCCAGAUGCCAGUCCUUUAGCUCUUCAGGGGAAAGAAAAAUAUGCAUCACUACUGAUAUCGAAAACAGCCUAUUUGCUUAUAAGCUUCCAGAACAUCUUUUUCAAAUAGUAGGUAACAUAUUCUUACAACUUUCUGGGAAGAGAAAAAUACUCAAGAGGUUUGAUGCUUAUCUAGUACAAUUUCUUCAUUUAAUUAAUAGAGAAACUAGAGAGCUUGCGGGCUGAAUUAAUGUCUCAGACCUCAAGUUUCAAAGUACAACCAACUUUAUCUAAAUUAGUAUUACACUAGAAUUUCAUGAAGAGAUAGAGUAUAGUACAGCCAUAACUGUAAAAACAUGUACACUUGCCAAAAAGGAAUUCUCAAUUUGCAAAUAUACGUGAGAACAAAAUAUUAAAAGAAGAGUCAAAAAAUAGGUAAAAGAACACAAAAUUGUAGAAAGACAUCUUGAUAGUUCAACAGAGCUUUGUAUUUUUGUCUGCUAUUUUCCUGGCACUGUAUUAGAUUCUGAGGCUCUCCCAGUGAAUUAAACACUGUCUCCGUCCCUUAGAAACACAAAACAUUAUGGCAGACACUAGUGAACAAUUAUUUUGUAAACAGAGAUAGAGAAUGGUAUGAGAGAAGAGGAAGGACCAAUAAUUCCAUCCUGGGAAAACUGGGAAAGACAGUCUACUGCUGGAAGCGAAAUUGAAUCAAGAUCAAUAAAUGGAAGAUAGUUUGAUCAAGAAAAAUAGCAGGAGAUUACCAGAGAAUUAAAAAAAUAUAAAAAAUAAGUGCAAGGAGGCCAUCUCUGUUUCACCUCCAGGCAUGUUCCAAGGCAUUCAGAGGAUCUGCUUGUCUAGUUAAGCAGCCUGAUCCGCUGCAUCCUUCCUAGGCAUAGAUCGUGGUACAGCAGGGGUCUCUACACUCCAUAUCGAGGAAGAUUUCCAGGCACUCAGAGCACCAGAUUGUCUGGAUCAGCAGCUUGA